CCGCUCAGAAACUCAAAGGAAUUGACGGGGCCCACACAAGCGGUGGAGUAUGUGGUUUAAUUCGAUGCAACGCGAAGAACCUUACCUGGUCUUGACAUCCCAGAAAUCCCUUGGAAACUUGGGAGUGCUUCCAUUAGGAAGAAUCUGGAGACAGGUGCUGCAUGGCUGUCGUCAGCUCGUGUCGUGAGAUGUUGGGUUAAGUCCCGCAACGAGCGCAACCCUUGCCUUUAGUUGCCAGCAGUUCGGCUGGGCACUCUAAAGGGACUGCCGGUGUUAAACCGGAGGAAGGUGGGGAUGACGUCAAGUCCUCAUGGCCUUUAUGACCAGGGCUACACACGUACUACAAUGGCCGAUACAAAGGGCAGCGACAUCGCGAGGUGAAGCCAAUCCCAUAAAAUCGGUCUCAGUCCGGAUUGGAGUCUGCAACUCGACUCCAUGAAGUUGGAAUCGCUAGUAAUCGUGGAUCAGCAUGCCACGGUGAAUACGUUCCCGGGCCUU
rnacentral:rRNA from 1 species